GCGAACCGGAUUAGAUACCCUGGUAGUCCACGCUGUAAACGAUGUCGAUUUGGAGGUUGUGCCCUUGAGGCGUGGCUUCCGGAGCUAACGCGUUAAAUCGACCGCCUGGGGAGUACGGCCGCAAGGUUAAAACUCAAAUGAAUUGACGGGGGCCCGCACAAGCGGUGGAGCAUGUGGUUUAAUUCGAUGCAACGCGAAGAACCUUACCUACUCUUGACAUCCAGAGAACUUUCCAGAGAUGGAUUGGUGCCUUCGGGAACUCUGAGACAGGUGCUGCAUGGCUGUCGUCAGCUCGUGUUGUGAAAUGUUGGGUUAAGUCCCGCAACGAGCGCAACCCUUAUCCUUUGUUGCCAGCGGUUCGGCCGGGAACUCAAAGGAGACUGCCAGUGAUAAACUGGAGGAAGGUGGGGAUGACGUCAAGUCAUCAUGGCCCUUACGAGUAGGGCUACACACGUGCUACAAUGGCAUAUACAAAGAGAAGCGACCUCGCGAGAGCAAGCGGACCUCAUAAAGUAUGUCGUAGUCCGGAUUGGAGUCUGCAACUCGACUCCAUGAAGUCGGAAUCGCUAGUAAUCGUAGAUCAGAAUGCUACGGUGAAUACGUUCCCGGGCCUUGUACACACCGCCCGUCACACCAUGGGAGUGGGUUGCAAAAGAAGUAGGUAGCUUAACCUUCGGGAGGGCGCUUACCACUUUGUGAUUCAUGACUGGGG
rnacentral:rRNA from 1 species